GCAGAAUUCCGCGAAUCAUCGAGUCUUUGAACGCAAGUNGCGCCCGAGGCUUGUCCAAGGGCAUUUCCGCUAGAGCGUCACC
rnacentral:rRNA from 1 species